AUGAAUCCGUCGUUUCACAGGCGUGCCCUCACACCCAUACAGGAGAGUGAGGAUUCUGCUGAGCAUCAGUGCAGCUCUGGCAUCCCGCACGGUGAACUGUCUUCACCAUCUCGCCCAGCGCAACCCACUGACAGGCCCUCUCCAGAUGAUCAGUCUGACAGUUCCCCAGAGGUGUGGCGGUCUGCCCGCAGCCAGCGCAGCCAGCACACAUGUCAGCCUCACGAUUUGGGUUUUUGCGAGAACAAAUCCUCACCUUUAGAGCUGGACCGUGACAGUAGCUCUUCAACUUCAGAGCUGGAACAUAGCAAGUCAUCACAUGAGCAUGUACUUGAGAUGAUGCCAAAGAGGUUUCAGCUUAGGAAGCAGAAAGAGCACGGCGCCCUCAAUCAACAACCUGUGGAGUCACCCGCAGCAUCACCUCCACGCAAGAACAACAAGGCACCCAGGGCUCGAGCCAGAAAGAGGAAAGCCAAGGAUGAUGGAGAGGCUGGAGGCCAGAAGAGGAAUGGAGAACAGAGAGGUGCCUCCACUGCACUGGAGCCCAGUCUGCCCCUUUGGCUUGUCAGCCUGAUGCAUAACAUUGAGGAGGCCACCCAGCAUGAACUGGUGGUAGAAUAGGUUAAAUGGAAGAGUGAGUUGGAGAUCGAGAGAUCCCACAUAGAAAGUUAAAGAAACGUAAUGUUUCAUGGAUUUAGGUCAUACAUUUUUUUUUUUUUGCAUUUGCCUAUUUUGCAACGUAUUGUCAACCUUUUUGUAAAGGUCUGUUGCUUUUUUUUUUUUUUUUUAAUGGUUUCAUUUGGACUGCAUGCACCUAUAGAGUGUUGGUAUGGCAGUGACCUGUAAAAGUAAACAUAUAAACUGUAUCAUUAUGUGAAUUUAUUUUUUUGACUGGUGUAUAUUUUGACACUUACUGCAAUUACUUGGUACAGUUUC
rnacentral:lncRNA from 1 species